GCUGGGCAUGGUGGUGCAUGCCUGUAAUCCCAGCUACUUGGGAGGCUGAGGCAGGAGAAUUGCUUGAACCCAGGAGGCAGAGGUUGCAUAGCUGAGAUUGCACCACUGCACUCCAACCUGGGCGACAGAGCAAGACUCUGUCUCAA
rfam:Pan troglodytes isolate Yerkes chimp pedigree #C0471 (Clint) chromosome 17, whole genome shotgun sequence.